rnacentral:lncRNA from 1 species
UUCCCAGUCAGAUUCGUUUCCACUGCACCACGACAGGAACUCUGCAUUGACCCUUCUGGCAUUAUAAAAUGCCCCGCUUUAUCUCUAGUUGCAUUUUUUUGUUUUAAAUCUAUUGUUUGAUAUCAUUACAGCCACUCCAGAUUUCUCUUGAGGCACAGUUCAUUUUCCUUCAUUUUUUUUCCCUCUUCUUUGGAUUUCACAAUCUCUAUUGACCUUUUUUUUUUUUUUUUUUUUUUUUUUUUUUUUUUUUUUUUNCAGGAGUUCCUGUCCUGGUGCAGUGGAAACGAAUCCAACUAGGAACCAGGAGGUUGUGGGUUCAAUCCCUGGCCUCACUCAGUGGGUUAAGGAUCCAGCGUUGCCAUGAGCUGUGGUAUAGGUCACAGACGAGGCUCGGAUCCAGCAUUGCUGCAGUUGUGGCAUAGGCCAGCAGCUAUAGCUCCACUUUGACCCCUAGCCUGGGAACUUCCAUAUGCCAUGGGUGUAGCCCUAAAAAGACAAAAGACACACACACCAAAAAAAACCAAAUAAAAUAAAAUGUGUUUUUACCAUCUUUAGCAUCCACCUCUGUUCGUCUUUGAUAAUCCUUACACUGAUAUUCCAGAAUUGAAACACUAUAUAACAAUUUUUUAAACAUUGCAAGUCAUAUGUAGUUUCUAAGCCCACAAAUCACAGAAUAAAAGAGUUUAAAAUUGCCAAAUGUGUUACUAGAGUAUCACCUACAUUACUAGCUUAUUACAUAAACUAUUACAUACAAUUUCAUUUCCUUCCAAACCUCCAUUUCUUACCCCUUCUCACAAAGGCCUGUGAUUUUUAAAUCUCCAAAAUUACACAAGCCUACUGCUAUUAUCUCUAUAAUUUCUCUACAGGUCUCUUACCUCUGUUCUCAGGAUGUUGUCUGUCAGCUACAAGAGACAUAAGCAUGCAGCUCAAUUGCUGUUGGUUGGGUCAGCAACACAGUGGUGUCAAGUGAAUAAAAAUAUAGCCAGUGUCUGAGACUUACAAAUGUAUACGCAAUAAUUCUCCUUCGAGACUCCAGGCUAUACCCACUCACCCCCAAGCUAGCUCUGCAUCCUCUCAUGCAUGCUAAUAAUUGAAUUAGUCAUAGAGGAUAAAAACAGAAAUAUGAAUGCAUAGAACUCAUCGCAACUCCUUGCCAUUUCAUUGACAAGAUGUAAGUCAGUAGUUUAAAAGAAUGAAUGACAUUCAUUCUAAGGGCUGAAUGGAGAUGACCAAGUAGUAAUACUUUCCCAUUGUUCCCUAAUUCAUGAAAAAAUACCUCCUUUUCCUCUGUCUUUGGAAUAGACCCAGAUUUGCCAGAAUAUGGAAGAAUGAGGAAGGAAGUUGGAGAGAAGAAGCCUAAGGUUGCCACUAGA